rnacentral:hammerhead_ribozyme from 1 species
GCACUGCUGAAGAGUCCCAUGCUAGGACGAAACAGCUGUCCAUUGC